GAGCUGCAAACAAGCUAUAAUCCGGAGAUUUCCGAAUGGGGCAACCCAUCAUGGUUAAUAUCAUGAUAUCUAUAUCUGAAUACAUAGGGUAUAGAGGUGAAACCGGGGGAAUUGAAACAUCUUAGUACCUCGAGGAAAAGAAAACUAAAGUGAUUUCCUGAGUAGUGGCGAGCGAAAUGGAAACAGCCUAAACCUUAUUCGUGUUAAAGCCUACAAGCGUUGCGAGUAAGGGGUUGUGGGAUUUAGUAUAAUUCAAUUUGUAGAUUGGAUUGAAAAGUUACAAAAUUAUUUUUUAAUAAAAUAAGCUGGAACGCUUAACCAUAGAAGGUGAAAGUCCUGUAUAUGAAAAGAAAUAAUCUUUUUUUAUUAAAUUCCCAAGUAUUGCGGGACACGUGGAACCCUGCGAGAAUCUGCCCCGACCAUGGGGUAAGGCUAAAUACUAACCAAUGACCGAUAGUGAACUAGUACCGUGAG
rnacentral:rRNA from 1 species